rnacentral:lncRNA from 1 species
GAGCCACCACGCCUUGGACAAGCACCAGAUGGAUGCCCAACUUCUUGGAUGUGAAGAGGGGAGGGAGAGAACCAGAGGGGGCAUAGAGAAGUGAAGGGGUUUCAUAUUUUUGUUGGGUAUUGAGCAGAGUCUCUAAACCCUAGGCGUAGACAGGGUUUAAAUAGAUCCUGCUACACCAUGCAGUGCUACAUCAUUCGAUCAAUCAAAAAAUUCUAAUUAAUUUUGAAAAAAUUUUGAUUAGUGGAGUGAU